UAGGGAAUCUUCGGCAAUGGACGAAAGUCUGACCGAGCAACGCCGCGUGAGUGAAGAAGGUUUUCGGAUCGUAAAACUCUGUUGUUAGAGAAGAACAAGGACGUUAGUAACUGAACGUCCCCUGACGGUAUCUAACCGGAAAGCCACGGCUAACUACGUGCCAGCAGCCGCGGUAAUACGUAGGUGGCAAGCGUUGUCCGGAUUUAUUGGGCGUAAAGCGAGCGCAGGCGGUUUCUUAAGUCUGAUGUGAAAGCCCCCGGCUCAACCGGGGAGGGUCAUUGGAAACUGGGAGACUUGAGUGCAGAAGAGGAGAGUGGAAUUCCAUGUGGAGCGGUGAAAUGCGUAGAUAUAUGGAGGAACACCAGUGGCGAUGGCGGCUCUCUGGUCUGUAACUGACGCUGAGGCUCGAAAGCGUGGGGAGCAAACAGG
rnacentral:rRNA from 1 species